UUCUUCAGUAGCCAAGUGGUUAAGGCACUUGCCUGGCAUGCACUAUUGCCCAGAUCAAAUCUGGGUGUGGAAU